GUCACUCAUUUCAUUCUACAAGCAUAACCGUGACAAGAUGCAAUGGGCAGCUCCUUUUCGCUGUCGCAUUCAAGGAGAUGCAGCAGUUGGUAGAGGUGUGACAAGACACAUCAUCUCAUCUGCCAUUACCAAACUGAAAAGGGGAUUUAAAAUGUACUUUGGAAAUGCUGCAGCGACUGC